rnacentral:rRNA from 1 species
CCCUUAGAUGUUCUGGGCCGCACGCGCGCUACACUGACCAGUACAACAAGCAUCCGUCCUUGGCCGACAGGCCCGGGCAAUCUUUGAACGCUGGUCGUGAUGGGGAUAGACUUUUGCAAUUUUUGGUCUUCAACGAGGAAUUCCUAGUAAGUGCAAGUCAUUAACUUGCGCUGAUUACGUCCCUGCCCUUUGUACACACCGCCCGUCGCUCCUACCGAUGAAUGGUCCGGUGAGGACUCAGGAUGCCUUUUGUCUCGGUUCGCCGUACAAAAGUGUCAGAAUUUGUUCAAACCUUAUCAUUUAAAGGAAGGAGAAGUCGUAACA